GUGCUCACUUCAGCAGCACAUAUACUAAAAUUGGAACGAUACAGAGAAGAUUAGCAUGGCCCCUGCACAAGGAUGACACACAAAUUCGUGAAACGUUCCAUAUUUUU
rnacentral:snRNA from 1 species